CCCCAGCCAUGGGGGGAUUUCAUUCUGAGUGAUUCUGACCUUGGGAUGGAAUAAGGCUCAUCCUAAUUCUGUAUGUCCUCCUAAAAGAUGUUGGGAGGUAGAGAUAAUGGUAACUUGGAGACUAGGGAAAAGUUAUAUUUAGUUUCACGAUGACUUUAGUUUUUCUAAGAAUCAAAAGAAAAGAAGGUGGAGUUGAUGUGUAUUAGGAUUCUCAGCAAUUAAGGAAACAAACAGAAACACUGAGUUUAUAAGGAAGAAAUUAAAGCUUAAGGAAAUAAUUUAUUACUGUUUGGAGCCUGGAUUUUUAGGCCCAAGAGCAGUCUAUGUAUAUUCUAGACUUCAUAAAAAUAUAUAGUCCAAUUGAAAUGGGAGUAGGUAUUUAAAGAGGAUGAGAAGAUAAAAGAGAAUGGAGGUUUUCUGAAGCCAUUUGUAUAUCUGAGUCUACCAGUCCAAAGUACAAACAUCCUGAGUGAAGCAGACGAUUUAUGAUACAGAAGUCACAAGGUUCUGCCCCGAGGCAAUGGGGGGGGGGAAUAGG